AGUUAAGUGAAUAAGCGUACACGGUGGAUGCCUUGGCAAUCAGAGGCGAAGAAGGACGUGCUAAUCUGCGAAAAGCGUGGGGGAGCUGAUAAGGAGCGUUAAUCCCACGAUAUCCGAAUGGGGAAACCCGAUAGAUGAAGAAUCUAUCAUUGUUGUCUGAAUUCAUAGGGCAACAAGGCAAACCGGGAGAACUGAAACAUCUAAGUACCCCGAGGAAAAGAAAUCAACCGAGAUUCUGCGAGUAGCGGCGAGCGAAAGCGGAGGAGCCAGCGAGUGAUAGCAUAAGUUUUAGGAGAAUUGUCUGGGAAGGCAAGCGAGAGAGGGUGACAGCCCCGUAUCCGAAAAGACAGAUGUGGUACUAAGCUAGCAAGAAGUAGGGCGGGACACGAGGAAUCCUGUUUGAAGAAGGGGGGACCAUCCUCCAAGGCUAAAUACUCCUGAUUGACCGAUAGUGGACCAGUACCGUGAGGGAAAGGCGAAAAGAACCCCGGGAGGGGAGUGAAAUAGAACCUGAAACCGUGUACGUACAAGCAGUGGGAGCCCGAAAGGGUGACUGCGUACCUUUUGUAUAAUGGGUCAGCGACUUAUAUUUUGUAGCGAGGUUAACCGGAUAGGGGAGCCGAAGGGAAACCGAGUCUUAACUGGGCGGUUAGUUGCAAGAUAUAGACCCGAAACCCGGUGAUCUAGCCAUGGGCAGGAAGAAGGUUGGGUAACACUAACUGGAGGGCCGAACCGACUACUGUUGAAAAAGUAGCGGAUGACCUGUGGCUGGGGGUGAAAGGCCAAUCAAACCGGGAGAUAGCUGGUUCUCCCCGAAAUCUAUUUAGGUAGAGCCUUAUAUGAAUACCUUCGGGGGUAGAGCACUGUUUCGGCUAGGGGUCCAUCCCGGAUUACCAACCCGAUGCAAACUGCGAAUACCGAAGAGUAAUGUAUAGGAGACACACGGCGGGUGCUAACGUUCGUCGUGGAGAGGGAAACAACCCAGACCGCCAGCUAAGGUCCCAAAGUCUAUAUUAAGUGGGAAACGAAGUGGAAAGGCUUAGACAGCUAGGAUGUUGGCUUAGAAGCAGCCAUCAUUUAAAGAAAGCGUAAUAGCUCACUAGUCGAGUCGGUCUGCGCGGAAGAUGUAACGGGGCUAAAAUAUAGCACCGAAGCUGCGGCAUCAGGCGUAUCACACAUACGCCUUACGAUUAACACCUUGCGAAGCAAGGUGGUCAAGCGACUUACACGUUGAGGUGUGAGCGGGAGGGAUAAUCGAAGAGAGGAAUAUGUGUGAUACGUCUGUUGGGUAGGGGAGCGUUGUGUAAGCUGAAGAAGGUGGUUCGAGAGGGCUGCUGGAGGUAUCACAAGUGCGAAUGCUGACAUAAGUAACGAUAAAGCGGGUGAAAGACCCGCUCGCCGGAAGACCAAGGUUUCCUGUCCAACGUUAAUCGGGGCAGGGUGAGUCGGCCCCUAAGGCGAGGCUGAGAAGCGUAGUCGAUGGGAAAUGGGUUAAUAUUCCCAUACUUGGAUAAACUGCGAUGUGGGGACGGAGCAGGUUAGGUUAGCGUACGGAUGGAAGAGUACGUUUAAGUUGGUAGGUGGGGUGUUUAGGCAAAUCCGGGCACCUGAUAACACUGAGAGAUGAUGACGAGGCUCUACGGAGCUGAAGUAACUGAUACCCAACUUCCAGGAAAAGUCACUAAGCGAAAGGUUUAUCUAAACCGUACUGGAAACCGACACAGGUGGUCAGGUAGAGAAUACUAAGGCGCUUGAGAGAACUCGGGUGAAGGAACUAGGCAAAAUAGCACCGUAACUUCGGGAGAAGGUGCGCUGGCGUAGUGUGAAGUUCUUCGCGAAUGGAGCAUGAACCAGUCGAAGCGACGAGCUGGCUGCAACUGUUUAAUAAAAACACAGCACUCUGCAAACACGAAAGUGGACGUAUAGGGUGUGAUGCCUGCCCGGUGCUGGAAGGUUAAUUGAUGGUGUUAUCGAAAGAGAAGCACCUGAUCGAAGCCCCAGUAAACGGCGGCCGUAACUAUAACGGUCCUAAGGUAGCGAAAUUCCUUGUCGGGUAAGUUCCGACCUGCACGAAUGGCAUAAUGAUGGCCAGGCUGUCUCCACCCGAGACUCAGUGAAAUUGAAAUCGCCGUGAAGAUGCGGUGUACCCGCGGCUAGACGGAAAGACCCCGUGAACCUUUACUAUAGCUUGACACUGAACCUUGAAUUUUAAUGUGUAGGAUAGGUGGGAGACUAAGAAGCGGUAACGCCAGUUAUCGUGGAGUCGUUGUUGAAAUACCACCCUUUAACGUUUGAUGUUCUAACGAGGCGCCUGGGACAGGUGUUCGGACAGUGUCUGGUGGGUAGUUUGACUGGGGCGGUCUCCUCCCAAAGCGUAACGGAGGAGCACGAAGGUUGGCUAAUGACGGUCGGACAUCGUCAGGUUAGUGCAAUGGUAGAAGCCAGCUUAACUGCGAGACGGACAAGUCGAGCAGGUACGAAAGUAGGUCAUAGUGAUCCGGUGGUUCUGAAUGGAAGGGCCAUCGCUCAACGGAUAAAAGGUACUCCGGGGAUAACAGGCUGAUACCGCCCAAGAGUUCAUAUCGACGGCGGUGUUUGGCACCUCGAUGUCGGCUCAUCACAUCCUGGGGCUGAAGUAGGUCCCAAGGGUAUGGCUGUUCGCCAUUUAAAGUGGUACGCGAGCUGGGUUUAGAACGUCGUGAGACAGUUCGGUCCCUAUCUGCCGUGGGCGUUGGAGGAUUGAGGGGGGUUGCUCCUAGUACGAGAGGACCGGAGUGAACGCACCGCUGGUGUUCGGGUUGUCAUGCCAAUGGCAUUGCCCGGUAGCUAAGUGCGGAAGAGAUAAGUGCUGAAAGCAUCUAAGCACGAAACUUGCCCCGAGAUGAGUUCUCCCUGACAAAGAGUCAGUAAGGGUUGUUGAAGACGACGACGUAGAUAGGUGGGGUGUGUAAGCGGUGUGAGCCGUUGAGCUAACCCAUACUAAUUGCCCGAGAGGCUUAACUAU
rnacentral:rRNA from 1 species